UAGCCUAGUGGUUGAGGCUAUGGAUUGCUAAUCCGGAGACGGCGGGUUCGAUUCCCGU
rnacentral:tRNA from 1 species